rnacentral:rRNA from 1 species
UACAGAGGGUGCAAGCGUUACUCGGAUUUACUGGGCGUAAAGGGCGCGUAGGUGGUAAAGCAAGUAAGAUGUGAAAGCCCUGGGCUUAACCUGGGAAGUGCAUCUUAAACUGCUUAACUAGAGUAUGGUAGAGGGUAGUGGAAUUUCCGGUGUAGCGGUGAAAUGCGUAGAGAUCGGAAGGAACGCCAGUGGUGAAGACGACUACCUGGACCAAUACUGACACUGAGGCGCGAAAGCGUGGGGAUCAAACAGG